rnacentral:rRNA from 1 species
AAACCAGCACCUCAAGUGGUCAGGAGGAUUAUUGGGCCUAAAGCAUCCGUAGCCUGCUGUAUAAGUUCUCGGUUAAAUCCAUACGCUCAACGUAUGGGCUGCCGGGAAUACUGUACAGCUAGGGAGUGGGAGAGGUAGACGGUACUCGGUAGGAAGGGGUAAAAUCCUUUGAUCUAUUGAUGACCACCUGUGGCGAAGGCGGUCUACCAGAACACGUUCGACGGUGAGGGAUGAAAGCUGGGGGAGCAAACCGGAUUAGAAACCCGUGUAGUCC